rnacentral:rRNA from 1 species
UACGAAGGGGGCUAGCGUUGCUCGGAAUGACUGGGCGUAAAGGGCGCGUAGGCGGAUGGUACAGUCAGAUGUGAAAUUCCCGGGCUCAACCUGGGGGCUGCAUUUGAUACGUAUGAUCUUGAGUGGGGAAGAGGGUCGUGGAAUUCCCAGUGUAGAGGUGAAAUUCGUAGAUAUUGGGAAGAACCCCGGUGGCGAAGGCGGCGACCUGGUCCUUAUACUGACGCUGAGGCGCGAAAGCGUGGGGAGCAAACAGG